rnacentral:rRNA from 1 species
UACAGAGGGGGCAAGCGUUGUUCGGAAUUACUGGGCGUAAAGGGCGCGUAGGCGGCCGCCUAAGUCAGACGUGAAAUCCCUCGGCUCAACCGGGGAACUGCGUCUGAUACUGGGUGGCUUGAAUCCGGGAGAGGGAUGCGGAAUUCCAGGUGUAGCGGUGAAAUGCGUAGAUAUCGGGAGGAACACCAGUGGCGAAGGCGAUCUUCUGGACGGAUACUGACGUUGAGGCGCGAAAGCUAGGGGAGCAAACAGG